CAAGAAAUAGUUUAAUUAGAAUGUCAGUUUUGGGUACUGGUGGUGUGGCUGGAUUGCUUCUUUCUUGA
rnacentral:tRNA from 1 species